GACACCAGCGCGGGUCCCGGCUCAAGCCAACGCGGUUCGCCUGCUCGCAGGUCAGAGAAUUGGCUCUAUCUUAGGCCGGUUUCUGCGGCCCGAAAUCACGUAUGCGUGUUGCGGUUCGAUGCCAUCAGCCGGAUGGGUGUCGUCGAAGGAAGAGCAGCAUGGAUCUGUCACCGAAUGAUGUCACCUUCGUUUGUUCUUUGCGGAUUCCUCGUUAUGCCGGUUACACUGCUCAUGAGGUCGCCUUUUCGGGGACCAGAUCAUGCCUCAGCGCCUAGCCAAUAUCAGGAGAAGCCGUGAGCGAUCCGGAACAGGACAAUC
rnacentral:misc_RNA from 1 species